UACGGGGGGGGCAAGCGUUGUUCGGAAUUACUGGGCGUAAAGGGCUCGUAGGCGGCCAACUAAGUCAUACGUGAAAUCCCUCGGCUUAACCGGGGAACUGCGUCUGAUACUGGAUGGCUUGAGUUCGGGAGAGGGAUGCGGAAUUCCAGGUGUAGCGGUGAAAUGCGUAGAUAUCUGGAGGAACACCGGUGGCGAAGGCGGCAUCCUGGACCGAUACUGACGCUGAGGAGCGAAAGCCAGGGGAGCAAAC
rnacentral:rRNA from 1 species